rnacentral:rRNA from 1 species
GUUGAACGCUGGCGGCGUGCCUAAUACAUGCAAGUCGAGUGAUCGCACGAAACGCUUUCCUGUUUGAUUUUCGCGUCGCACGGGUGAGUGACACGUGGAUAAACCAGCCAUAAGACUGGGAAAAACUCCGGAAACCGGAGCUAAUAACCGCUAAUCUUUUCAACAGCAAAGAUCAGAACCGUCAGACCGCCUUGCUGCCACUUAUACAUGGUUCCAGGCUGCAUUAGCUAGUAGGUCAGGUAACGGCUUACCCAGGCAACGAUGCAUAGCUGAGCUGAGAGGGUGAUCAGCCACACUGGAACUGAGACACGGUCCAGACUCCUACGGGAGGCAGCAGUGGGGAAUCUUGCACAAAGGGCGAAAGCCUGAUGGAGCAAUGCCGCGUGUAUGAAGAAGGUCUUCGGGUCGUAAAACUCUUUUAGCAGGGAGGAAGAGAGGAAUGAGUAACUGUGCACUCAUUGACGUUACCUGCAGAGGAAGCCACGGCUAACUCCGUG